rnacentral:rRNA from 1 species
UACGAAGGGGGGCUAGCGUUGCUCGGAAUUACUGGGCGUAAAGCGUGUGUAGGUGGCUUCCUAAGUCGGUUGUGAAAUCCCCGAGCUCAACUCGGGAACUGCGUCCGAUACUGGUGGGCUUGAAUCCGGGAGAGGGAUGCGGAAUUCAGGUGUAGCGGUGAAAUGCGUAGAUAUCUGGAGGAACACCGGUGGCGAAGGCGGCAUCCUGGACCGGCAUUGACGCUGAGGCGCGAAAGCUAGGGGAGCAAACGGGG